rnacentral:rRNA from 1 species
GGGUGAGUAACGCGUGAGCAACCUACCUUAGUUACUGGGAUAGCCAGAGGAAACUCGGAUUAAUACCGGAUAUUCUUAUUUAAUCACAUGAUUUUUUAAGGAAAGGUCAGCCGAACUAAGAUGGGCUCGCGUUCUAUCAGCUAGUUGGUAGGGUAAUGGCCUACCAAGGCUACGACGGAUAGCUGGUCUGAGAGGACGAUCAGCCACACUGGGACUGAGACACGGCCCAGACUCCUACGGGAGGCUGCAGCAGGGAAUAUUGCGCAAUGAGCGAAAGCUUGACGCAGCGACACCGCGUGUGGGAUGGCGGAUCUAGGCUUGUAAACCACUUUCAGGAGGGAAGAAAAUGACGGUACCUCCACAAGAAGCCCCGGCCAACUACGUGCCAGCAGCCGCGGUAAUACGUAGGGGGCGAGCGUUGUCCGGAUUUAUUGGGCGUAAAGAGCUCGUAGGCGGUUCAACAAGUCGGUCGUGAAAGUUCAGGGCUCAACCCUGAAAUGUCGAUCGAUACUGUUGUGACUAGGAUACGGUAGAGGUGAGUGGAAUUCCGAGUGUAGCGGUGAAAUGCGUAGAUAUUCGGAGGAACACCAAUUGCGAAGGCAGCUCACUGGGCCGCUAUCGACGCUGAGGAGCGAAAGCUAGGGGAGCAAACAGGAUUAGAUACUCUGGU